GAUGAACGCUGGCGGCGUGCCUAAUACAUGCAAGUCGAGCGAACAGACGAGGAGCUUGCUCCUCUGACGUUAGCGGCGGACGGGUGAGUAACACGUGGAUAACCUACCUAUAAGACUGGGAUAACUUCGGGAAACCGGAGCUAAUACCGGAUAAUAUAUUGAACCGCAUGGUUCAAUAGUGAAAGACGGUUUUGCUGUCACUUAUAGAUGGAUCCGCGCCGCAUUAGCUAGUUGGUAAGGUAACGGCUUACCAAGGCAACGAUGCGUAGCCGACCUGAGAGGGUGAUCGGCCACACUGGAACUGAGACACGGUCCAGACUCCUACGGGAAGCAGCAGUAGGGAAUCUUCCGCAAUGGACGAAAGCCUGACGGAGCAACGCCGCGUGAGUGAUGAAGGUCUUCGGAUCGUAAAACUCUGUUAUUAGGGAAGAACAAAUGUGUAAGUAACUAUGCACGUCUUGACGGUACCUAAUCAGAAAGCCACGGCUAACUACGUG
rnacentral:rRNA from 1 species